rnacentral:pre_miRNA from 1 species
GUGACCAAGAUGGAGAUGAUGGGAUGUUGGGCAUGCUCAACACGAUCUGUCAACAUUCUAGAGUAUAUUGACGGGUCGUGAUGGGCACUCUCAAUGUCCACUUCAUGGUUUUGUGACGU